rnacentral:rRNA from 1 species
GAGUGAGUGGCGAACUGGUGAGUAACACGUGGGAAACCUGCCCAGAAGCGGGGGAUAACACCUGGAAACAGAUGCUAAUACCGCAUAACAACUUGGACCGCAUGGUCCGAGCUUGAAAGAUGGCUUCGGCUAUCACUUUUGGAUGGUCCCGCGGCGUAUUAGCUAGAUGGUGGGGUAACGGCUCACCAUGGCAAUGAUACGUAGCCGACCUGAGAGGGUAAUCGGCCACAUUGGGACUGAGACACGGCCCAAACUCCUACGGGAGGCAGCAGUAGGGAAUCUUCCACAAUGGACGAAAGUCUGAUGGAGCAACGCCGCGUGAGUGAAGAAGGGUUUCGGCUCGUAAAACUCUGUUGUUAAAGAAGAACAUAUCUGAGAGUAACUGUUCAGGUAUUGACGGUAUUUAACCAGAAAGCCACGGCUAACUACGUGCCAGCAGCCGCGGUAAUACGUAGGUGGCAAGCGUUGUCCGGAUUUAUUGGGCGUAAAGCGAGCGCAGGCGGUUUUUUAAGUCUGAUGUGAAAGCCUUCGGCUCAACCGAAGAAGUGCAUCGGAAACUGGGAAACUUGAGUGCAGAAGAGGACAGUGGAACUCCAUGUGUAGCGGUGAAAUGCGUAGAUAUAUGGAAGAACACCAGUGGCGAAGGCGGCUGUCUGGUCUGUAACUGACGCUGAGGCUCGAAAGUAUGGGUAGCAAACAGGAUUAGAUACCCUGGUAGUCCAUACCGUAAACGAUGAAUGCUAAGUGUUGGAGGGUUUCCGCCCUUCAGUGCUGCAGCUAACGCAUUAAGCAUUCCGCCUGGGGAGUACGGCCGCAAGGCUGAAACUCAAAGGAAUUGACGGGGGCCCGCACAAGCGGUGGAGCAUGUGGUUUAAUUCGAAGCUACGCGAAGAACCUUACCAGGUCUUGACAUACUAUGCAAAUCUAAGAGAUUAGACGUUCCCUUCGGGGACAUGGAUACAGGUGGUGCAUGGUUGUCGUCAGCUCGUGUCGUGAGAUGUUGGGUUAAGUCCCGCAACGAGCGCAACCCUUAUUAUCAGUUGCCAGCAUUAAGUUGGGCACUCUGGUGAGACUGCCGGUGACAAACCGGAGGAAGGUGGGGAUGACGUCAAAUCAUCAUGCCCCUUAUGACCUGGGCUACACACGUGCUACAAUGGAUGGUACAACGAGUUGCGAACUCGCGAGAGUAAGCUAAUCUCUUAAAGCCAUUCUCAGUUCGGAUUGUAGGCUGCAACUCGCCUACAUGAAGUCGGAAUCGCUAGUAAUCGCGGAUCAGCAUGCCGCGGUGAAUACGUUCCCGGGCCUUGUAC